UUAUCUUAUUUUUUAAAACACUAGGUGGGCCAAGCAAAAUAUGUCUGCAAGCUUGUAGAGACCCACAGGCUGUAAGACUGGUGUCUGCUCUAGAGAAACAAAAGGGCAGGAGGUAGCCAGACUGAGAAGGACCAACUGUUACGAGAGAGAAGAACAAAGAGAAGGAGAAAUCAAGAAGACUGUUGCUUGAUUUUCCUCUCAUCUUAUAACUUAUACUCCAAAAGCUUGCGGGUAUCACCAUCAGAAGAUGAACUUGAGUGGGGCUGGAGGAUAUUUGGAAGCCUGUGGGUGAAGAAUAACCAGUGGCCCAUUCUGGCAGCUGUUGACUUUGUACCCUCUGUUCCUGAGGGAGAAAAAGUGUUGUCAAAAUAGGAAGAAAUUUCAUACCAGUAGCCCUUGGCAGGACGUGAGCUCUGUUCUUCGCUAAAGCAUGCAUCUGAUCGCUGACAAUUUUUUUUUCCUUCUUUUCCCUUUUGUCUCUGGGACAUCAGGGAUUGAGCACAAACUGGCAGUGAAUGAUAUCCCUCCCAACUUUGGUGAUUAUGUUCGUUAAUAAUGAUUAUCGCUUCUAUGUAAUAUUUGCAUGAUAAACUAUAGACAUCUGGUGCAGCGUGCAUGUGCGUGUGGUGUUUGUUGGAAAACAGAAGAAGCUAAAUGCUGAUGAAAUGUGAAAUCUAACCGUUCAGACUAAAAAUAAAGUCAGCAGGCUUUAGGAUUUCUGUAUGCCAGCAAUUCUGAACUGCUUACAUUCGCCGUCUUAGUUACCGUGGAAACACUUGGCUGGGCAUAUACAGACAUGGAGUACACAAUUUGUGGGCCUGGCCCCUGGGGGUCCCAUUACAGAAUUUUGUAUGUUUAGAAAUAUUUUGUAAUAAGGCCCCUUGUGUCACUUAUUAGUGAUAAAACGUACAACUGCCUUCAUCAGCAUCAACCUCAAAUUUGUUUCUCAUUGAAAUGAACCAGCAUGCUUUCAGGGCUCCAGGCUGAGAGGAUCAGAAUCUUGCCCUUCCACCUUUCACCAUGUGAGAACACAGAAGCAAGGCGCCAUCUUGGAAGCAGAGAGCAGCUCUCAACAGACACCAAAUACAACACCUUGACCUUGGAUUUCUCAGUUCCAGCACUGUAAGAUAUUAAUUUUUGCUGUAUAUAAAUUACCCAUUUCAAAACAUUUUUUAUGGCAGCACAAACAGACCAGGCCAGUUGUGGAGACUGAUAACUGGUGAUUCAUUGUUGACAGUGGACAAAAAAUGAGCAGAUAAAAAACAUCACCAGCAUUUUGAUAUGUGUAGCAUUUGUUUGCUUGGUUUUGUUUAUUUAUAUUUAUUCUGAUAUCAAGACUCUGCCUCAUAAAGGGUAGAAGUAGGAGAGGAAAUUCCGUAUCAGUGGAUAAAUACACAUGAAGGCAUAUGAUACAGAGACUGUGUUAUCUAAUAGAAGAAGAAAAUUAGUUAAGGUAGGAUUUUGUAGAUAGUGCAAAAGCCAUCUUCGCGCUCUUUUAAAAGGCAUUAGAAUGGCCUUCCUGCCAAUGAUCUCCCUGAUACCUAGGUAUAAAUGGAUCUGAAAUCCCAUUAAAGAUGCAUCUUCUUCCAAGAGCCCUUACCAGG
rnacentral:lncRNA from 13 species